UACGGGGGGAGCAAGCGUUGUUCGGAUUUACUGGGCGUAAAGGGCGCGUAGGCGGCCACGACAAGUCACUUGUGAAAUCUCCGGGCUUAACUCGGAACGGUCAAGUGAUACUGUCGGGCUAGAGUGCAGAAGGGGCAACUGGAAUUCUCGGUGUAGCGGUGAAAUGCGUAGAUAUCGAGAGGAACACCAGUGGCGAAGGCGGCUUCCUGGCCUGUUCUUGACGCUGAGGCGCGAAAGCUAGGGGAGCAAACGGG
rnacentral:rRNA from 1 species